rnacentral:snRNA from 1 species
AUCGGGUAAAGCCAAUGA